UACGUAGGCAGCGAGCGUUGUUCGGAGUUACUGGGCGUAAAGGGUGUGUAGGCGGUUGUUUAAGUUUGGUGUGAAAUCUCCCGGCUCAACUGGAAGGGUGCGCCGAAUACUGAAUGACUUGGAGUGCGGGAGAGGAAAGUGGAAUUCCUGGUGUAGCGGUGAAAUGCGUAGAUAUCAGGAGGAACACCGGUGGUGUAGACGGCUUUCUGGACCGUAACUGACGCUGAGACACGAAAGCGUGGGUAGCAAACAGG
rnacentral:rRNA from 1 species